rnacentral:rRNA from 1 species
UGGGGAAUAUUGCACAAUGGAGGGAACUCUGAUGCAGCGACGCCGCGUGAGUGAUGAAGGAAUUCGUUUCGUAAAACUCUGUUCUAUGGGAAGAAAAGGACUGUACCAUAGGAGAAAGCUCCGGCUAAAUACGUGCCAGCAGCCGCGGUAAUACGUAUGGAUCGAGCGUUGUCCGGAAUUAUUGGGCGUAAAGGGUGCGCAGGCGGCUUUACAAGUUGGAUGUGAAAUAUUGUGGCUCAACAACAAACGUGCAACCAAAACUGCAAAGCUUGAGUUACGUAGAGGUGAGUGGAAUUCCUGGUGUAGCGGUGGAAUGCGUCGAUAUCAGGAGGAAUACCGGUGGCGAAGGCGACUUACUGGACUUAAACUGACGCUCAGGCACGAAAGCGUGGGGAGCAAACAGG